UACGUAGGUGGCAAGCGUUGUCCGGAAUUAUUGGGCGUAAAGAGCUCGUAGGCGGUUUGUCGCGUCUGCUGUGAAAACUCGGGGCUUAACCCCGGGCCUGCAGUGGGUACGGGCAGACUAGAGUGCGGUAGGGGAGACUGGAAUUCCUGGUGUAGCGGUGAAAUGCGCAGAUAUCAGGAGGAACACCCAUUGCGAAGGCAGCUCGCUGGGACGUUACUGACGCUGAGACGCGAAAGCGUGGGGAGCAAACAGG
rnacentral:rRNA from 1 species